rnacentral:tRNA from 1 species
GGGCGAUUAGCUCAUUUGGCUAGAGCGUGGCAUUGACGUUGCCAAGGUGAUAGGUUCGAAUCCUAUAUCGCCCACCA